CCCAGUAACGGCGAGUGAAGCGGCUACAGCUCAAAUUUGAAAUCUGGCCCCCGGGUCCGAGUUGUAAUUUGUAGAGGAUGCUUUUGGUGAGGUACCUUCCGAGUUCCCUGGAACGGGACGCCAUAGAGGGUGAGAGCCCCGUAUGGUUGGACACCGAGCCUAUGUAAAGCUCCUUCGACGAGUCGAGUAGUUUGGGAAUGCUGCUCAAAAUGGGAGGUAAACCCCCUCUAAAGCUAAAUAUUGGCCAGAGACCGAUAGCGCACAAGUAGAGUGAUCGAAAGAUGAAAAGCACUUUGAAAAGAGAGUUAAACAGCACGUGAAAUUGUUGAAAGGGAAGCGCUUGCGACCAGACUUGCGCCCGUCGGAUCAACCGUCGCUUGUCGGCGGCGCACUCCGGCGGGCUCAGGCCAGCAUCAGUUUUCCCGGGGGGAGAAAGGCGGUGGGAAUGUAGCUCCUAGGAGUGUUAUAGCCCGCCGCGUAAUACCCUCGGGGGGACUGAGGACCGCGCAUCUGCAAGGAUGC
rnacentral:rRNA from 1 species